rnacentral:tRNA from 1 species
GGGGGAUUAGCUCAGCUGGGAGAGCGCUUGAAUGGCAUUCAAGAGGUCAGGGGUUCGAUCCCCCUAUUCUCCACCA